rnacentral:rRNA from 1 species
UACGGGGGGGGUAAGCGUUGUUCGGAAUUACUGGGCGUAAAGGGCUCGUAGGCGGCCAACUAAGUCAGACGUGAAAUCCCUCAGCUUAACUGGGGAACUGCGUCUGAUACUGGAUGGCUUGGAUUCGGGAGAGGAAUGCGGAAUUCCAGGUGUAGCGGUGAAAUGCGUAGAUAUCUGGAGGAAUACCGGUGGCGAAGGCGGCAUUCUGGACCAUAACUGACGCUGAGACGCGAAAGCUAGGGGAGCAAACGGG